AGGACGAACGCUGGCGGCGCGCUUAACACAUGCAAGUCGAGCGAGAACCAGGCCUUCGGGCCUGGGGAAAGCGGCGAACGGGUGAGUAACACGUGGGUAACCCACCCUUGGUACCGGGAUAGCCCGAGGAAACUCGGAUUAAUACCGGAUGGCCCAACAGCUUCUCGGAGCGGUUGGAAAAGGUAGCUUCGGCCUCCGACCAAGGACGGGCCCGCGGUGGAUUAGCUUGUUGGUGAGGUAACGGCUCACCAAGGCUUCGAUCCAUAGCUGGUCUGAGAGGACGAUCAGCCACACUGGGACUGAGACACGGCCCAGACUCCUACGGGAGGCAGCAGUGGGGAAUCUUGCGCAAUGGGCGAAAGCCUGACGCAGCGACGCCGCGUGGGGGAAGAAGGCUUUCGGGUUGUAAACCCCUUUCAGGAAGGACGAAGCCACUCGGGUUAAUAGCCCAGAGGGUGACGGUACUUCCAGAAGAAGCCCCGGACUAACUACGUGCCAGCAGCCGCGGUAA
rnacentral:rRNA from 1 species